rnacentral:rRNA from 1 species
AACGCGAAGAACCUUACCUAGCCUUGACAUGCACUGGACCGACUCUGAAAGGAGUCUUUCCCGCAAGGGACCGGUGCACAGGUGCUGCAUGGCUGUCGUCAGCUCGUGUCGUGAGAUGUUGCGUUAAGUCCCGCAACGAGCGCAACCCUUAUCUUCAGUUGCUACCAUUUAGUUGAGCACUCUGACGAAACCGCCUCGGAUAACGGGGAGGAAGGUGGGGAUGACGUCAAGUCCUCAUGGCCUUUAUGUCCAGGGCUACACACGUGCUACAAUGGCCGGUACAAACCGUCGCAAACCCGUGAGGGGGAGCUAAUCGGAAAAAGCCGUCCUCAGUUCGGAUUAGAGUCUGCAACUCGACUCUAUGAAGCUGGAAUCGCUAGUAAUCGCGGAUCAGAACGCCGCGGUGAAUACGUUCCCGGGCCUUGUACACACCGCGCAUA